CUUCCCUACGGGACGCAGCAGUGGGGGAUAUUGGACAAUGGGGGGAACCCUGAUCCAGCGACGCCGCGUGAAGGAAGAAGGAUCUCGGGAUGUAAACUUCUUUUAUUCGGGACGAAACAAAUGACGGUACCUAAUGAAUAAGCCACGGCUAACUACGUGCCAGCAGCCGCGGUAAUACGUAGGUGGCAAGCGUUAUCCGGAUUUACUGGGUGUAAAGGGCGUGUAGGCGGGUGUGCAAGUCAGACGUGAAAUUCGAGGGCUCAACCCUGGAACUGCGCUGGAAACUG
rnacentral:rRNA from 1 species